AUUGCAAAUCAAAGCAGCUUCAAAUCCAUCAAUGAAAAAGAUCUCGACUCGUACCACAAUCUCAGAAACUUAACCAUAACCAACACGAGCCUCGCAUAUAUUUCGAGGCAGGCCUUUCAGAGCAACCCGAAACUACAGUAUCUGAAUCUCAAAGAGAACAAUCUGUCCAAUCUAUCGUGGAGGGCGUUUCGUCAUUUAAACAUUUCAUAUCUGUUGCUGGCAGGCAAUCCUUUGCAGUGCAUAUGUGAAAACGUGUGGCUGAAGCAGUGGAGAGGAGAGGAGGCCGAGGACCUGCUGUGUGUGGAGGAGGAAGGAAAGAGGACAGCGCUGUCUACGCUCUCACUGCCAA